rnacentral:rRNA from 1 species
GUGCACCAGUCGCGAAAACUCCGCAAUACGCGAAAGCGUGACGGGGCUACCCCGAGUGUCGUCCGCUGAGGACGACUUUUCCACGCUGUAAGGAGGCGUGGGAAUAAGGAGAGGGCAAGUCUGGUGUCAGCCGCCGCGGUAAUACCAGCUCUUCGAGUGGUAGGGAUGUUUAUUGGGCCUGAAGCAUCCGUAGCCGGCUGGACAAGUCUCUUGUUAAAUCCAGCGAUUCAAUCGUUGGACUGCGGGAGAUACUGUUAGGCUAGGGGGCGGGAGAAGCCGACGGUAUUUCCGGGGUAGGGGUAAAAUCCUAUAAUCCCGGGAAGACCACCAGUGGCGUAGGCGGGCGGCUAGCACGCGCUCGACAGUGAGGGAUGAAAGCUGGGGUAGCGAACCGGAUUAGAUACCCGGGUAGUCC